ACUCUGGGAACUGUAGUCCUAUCAACGACUUCGCUUUUGUUGCGUGUUUUUUCGCGGGCUCGUGCGUGUGGUGCCUGGCCAUUACACUAGACAUCAUGAACUGAUCAAGCUGGAGGUGGGCGGAGGCCAAAUACAUUUACUGGAGUGAAACUGGGCGACACGGUGGCUCAGUGGUUUGCACUGUGGCCUCACAGCACUCAGGUCACUUGUUCGAGUCUCGGCUGGGUCAGUUGGUGUUUCUGUGUGGAGUUUGCAUGUUCUCCCCGUGUUAGUGUGGGUUUUCUCUGGGUGUGAGAUCAACAAUGAUUAGAAAAUGCAUAAUUAAUACAUCAAGUGAGCAAUAAACUGGCCACAUGAGCACACAACAUGUGUAAAGCACAUUUCUCUGGGCUGUUUCUCCAUCUCACCAGACACUGGUCAGGACCCCUGUGUGGAGCCGUGAGGACAGCAGCAGCUGCUGGACUGAGUGUAUGUGGAGAGUCUGCAGAAUCACGACACCACCAGUCUGAAACUCUGUCAGAUCAUACUGUGGCCUGUGGAAACCUGCGCUCAUCACCUGAGUGUGUCAGUGUGUGCAGGUAUAGAAAUGACCUGCUCUCUUCAGUUGUUUGAUUGUUUUGACUGUGUGUUCAUAAUAAAGGUAAAAAUAAGUCAUGACG